CGCCCGGGGGCGGAGCCAUGCGCAGCCCCGCCCCGCGACCAGCCUGCCGGGUCCUGCGGGCUGGGACCUAACCUUUUGCCUGCGGGGACGAAAUCCCUGCCUUGAGGACUUCAGGCCACAGCGCUGGUCUCCCUCGACCUCCGCACGUGCACCAGUUUAGUCGGAGGCUGCCAGGCUGGACUUUAAAAAACGAGUGACGGGGGUUUUCCACUGGGAGAAAAAGGGGGGAAGGGCCACUGGUGCUCACCCAUCUCCAUUACCAUCUUAAAAUAAUUUAUAAAAAGAAAGAAAAAAAAAAGAAGGAAAAGAAAUACACUUGGUUGUGCCAGGGACCUGCCAGCCCAAUAUACAGAACAAUUCAUGGACUUUCCAUUCCAAAAAUGUUGACCUUCCUUAGGACCCUCCAUUCACAGAAAUUCUGGAGGGAUCUUUCCGUGUUGGAAACGUGAACUUGCAGCUUCCAGAGGAAACAUGCCUCUCCAAACCUAGCCGAGGAGCUUUACAAACAAUGGAUUACAGCCUGGGUGCAGUGGCGCACACCUGCAAUUCAAGCUGCUGAGGAGGCUGAGGUGGGAGGAUUUCAAGUUCAAGGCCAGCCUUGGCAAUUCAUCAAGACCCUGUCUCAAAGCUGAAAAAUAAAAAGGGCUGGGGAUAUAGUUCAGUGGCACAGUGCCCCUGGAUUCAAUCUCCAGCACUGCAAAAGAAAUAAAGAAAAAAGAAAAUGGAGUACAUCUUUUCGGAUGUCUCCUCCAGGUAGAUGUCCUGUAAUUUGAAUGACAGUCAUUUUCAAGUUAUAAAAUUAUAACAUGCCUGUAAAAUACUUGCCUAAA